rnacentral:tRNA from 1 species
CCGUAGCUCAGUUGGUUAGAGCACCACCUUGACAUGGUGGGGGUCGGUGGUUCGAGUCCACUCGGACGCACCA